CUGUCACAGAAGGUGAGGUUUCCAAUAUCCCAGACGCUGAACCGGACUAUAUUUGAAGACACGGAAAUAAUACAACACUUAAAAGAAAGGAGGAUAAACUCUUUCCCAUCUUAUUAUCUUUUCAUUUGUGAUUAAAAGAAAAACAGGAUGGGUAUCAAACGGAUCAUAUCACUUUCCCUGAUUCUAAUAGUGGUAUCGACAACUGCCGAUGUAGCUGCAACAACAACUGCUUCACCUACGACUGCUGCACCCACAACUGCAACACCUACGACUGCUGCACCCACAACUGCAACACCUACGACUGCAGCACAUACGACUGCUGCACCCACAACUGUUGCACCUACGUCUGCUGCACCCACAACUGUUGCACAAACGACUGCUGCAUCCACAACUGCUUCACCUACGACUGCUGCACCCACAACUGCAACACCUACGACUGCUGCACUCACAACUGCUUCACCUACGACUGCUGCACCUACAACUGCUUCACCUACAACUGCAGCACAUACGACUGCAGCACCUACAACUGCUGCACCAACUGCUGCACCCACAACUGUUCCACCUACAACUGCUGCACCCACAACUGCUGCACCAACAACUGCAGCACAUACGACUGCAGCACCUACAACUGCUGCACCUACAACAACUUCACUGCAUUUAUUAAUGUGUUUAAUAAAUGCUGGCUAGGACAACCACACAAACGGCAGCAACUUUCCCUCUGCUUCAUUCUUUUCUCCUGUUCAACAGGCUUAUUAUCUGAUUACCAGCUCUGCACAGCAGACUUGCAACACUAGCAGCAGUGGAGAUGUAGCAUCAGCACCUGGAGAAUACAGCAACAACAACAAGGAUCCAUUUGAAGAUAGCUGCCUGGGCCUAGCAGCAAGAACCUCCAUCUGUGCCUGCACCCAGGUCAAGAUCUACCGUGGCUCAAGGGCCUUCACCAGAGCCAUCACCACCAAGGACCAGAGGACCAGCAUCACUACAGCAGCCUCCACCUCCAUCUGUGCCUGCCACAAGAUUAAGAUACACCUCGGUACAAAGGCCUCCACCACAGCCAUCACGAUCAACCCAGCCAGCAAAGAAGUCUCGCCUAGCACACCUCCCUCCCUCCGACACAGCCACCAGCAGCCCAUGCACCAUCACCCCCACCUACACAGCAGCCAGACCCACUGUCUUGGAAGACAGACAAAGACCAUGGCACUGCUCCCCCUGUCUUUACAUUUAUAAUGAAUAGUUGGUUGAGAAAGUUCUGAUAUUGUCAGGGUUCGUACAGUCAUUAAAAACCUGGAAAAGUCAUGGAAUGCAAUAUUUUUCCCAAAGUUUUGGAAAAGUCAUAGAAAUAUAACUAAAGUUGCAUCAAAUAUAAUUUAUAUGUUAUCUAAUCGCCGAAAUAGUAAUACUAUAAUGAUAAUAAAUACUGUAUCGUAUAAUGAAACGUAAAAUGGCAACUGUGGCAGUAUUUCGCUGGUGAGAGAUUUUUACAAUCACGCCCUCUAGUCUACAGGAGCUACUAUUUGAUAUAAAGAUGCCAGGGAAGUGCAGUUUCAACAAUGUAUGGCUUCUAAAGAAUAAGUACCAAUUGUGGUUAUCAAAAGACAUUGACCCAAGAUGUGCUAAAUGCAAACUGUGUUGUAACAUAUUCAAUAUUUCGAAUAUGGGCGAGGCAGCGCAUGCUAGCCACAUGAUAGUCAUUGUUUUGGUCAUGGAAAAGUCAUUUAAAAUCAUUGGUGAAAAAGUGUAUGAACCCUGUAUUGUAAAUAUUGAGAUGUUACAGUUUCUUACAGUAUGUUAACAUAAAUAGUUGGUCGAAAAAAAAA